rnacentral:rRNA from 1 species
UACGUAGGGAGCAAGCGUUGUCCGGAAUCAUUGGGCGUAAAGCGCGCGUAGGUGGCCUCAUAAGUCCGCUGUGAAAGUCAAAGGCUCAACCUUUGAAAGCCGGUGGAUACUGCAUGGCUAGAGUACGGAAGAGGCGAGUGGAAUUCCUGGUGUAGCGGUGGAAUGCGCAGAUAUCAGGAGGAACACCAAUAGCGAAGGCAGCUCGCUGGGACGUUACUGACACUGAGGCGCGAAAGCGUGGGGAGCGAACAGG